UCAGAAAGAAAGAAAUGAAAGUGAAGAAGGAGGCUAUGAGCCCCACAAAUUAAAACAUUUUAUUUUGUCACUUUCAGUUUUAGGUUACCAAUGCUGUGAUUUAAGUUCCAUCAGGACCUCAACUCUCUUUGUGAGUGUCUACUGAGUACUUCAAGGAAAGUGUCUGAACCCCAUGAUUUAAUGAUAGAAAGGAACAUCUUCAAGAGGUCUGCCUGCCUGUAAGGAAGGUGCUUUCUUAGCUCCUCUUUGCCAUGUGCUUAGUUGGGAAGGUUCUCUGUCUGGAGUGGAGGCUCUGAAGCAGUGACUAGGCAGGGUCCUUCAGAUCAUCUUGGAGUUGGCCACUCAAGUCACCUAGAGGAAAGGGCCUUGUGCCAGUGUCCAGUGUGGACAGCUCUCCUAACUGCUUGGCAUUCAGAGAAGCUUUCCUUGCUACAGUGCUAAGUGAUUGACAGGCAGUCCCCAAAUGGCAAUCACCACAAGAGAAGAAGAGAUAAAAUGCUCCGUGGGAUAUGAUCUGGGAGAUACCACCUCCAGCAUGGAGACCGUGAACAUUUUCACAGAGGAGGUGCCCCUUGAAUUUGGUCCUAAAUAUUCACCAGAGUUGGAAUCUGUAGAGAACAAGAUGAGGUGGAACACCUCGGACACAGAGAACGCAGGACAUGUUUGAGAGAAGGCCAGAGAUUCUGCCAUAUAAAGUACAAGAAGAAAACGUAUCCUGUAAAUGCAAUUAUGAGCAUGGGCUCCGGAGUUAGAUGUCCUGGGUUUGAAUUCCAGCUUAACUGUUAACUAGCUCUGUGACCUUGGCUGGGCCACUUAAUUUCCAUGAGCCCCGUGUUUUUCAUCUAUCA